rnacentral:sRNA from 1 species
AUUCUAAAGAUCUGAUAACCGAAGACAGCAGGCGCAACUGGCUUAAUAUCCUGCCGAGGUUAAGGUAUUAAAGAUUUUAACGGUGAAUUAAAGGCUAAUUAUGCCUUGAGUUCUAACGGAUAAUUUUUAUUCCUUUAC